rnacentral:tRNA from 1 species
GAGCCGCAUGGCAUAGUGGUUAAGUGUUUGCACUGCCACUCACACGGUCAGGAGUUCGAGCCCCCUGUGGGUCA